GAGAUGGGUUUUUGACAUUUUGUUGAGAUGCCAACUGUGUGACAAUGAUUCUCGGUUAGUAUCUUUCCCGGCCGAUUGGUUCCUAAGAAAGCUGAAGGUAACUGGAAAGAGAAAAUCGUUGAAAAUUUUUUCAUCUAAUUUAAGUCCAGCUUUGAGUUGGAUUUUUGACAGAAGUACCUUUGUAUGAUAAAAAAAAAAAAAAUACAAAUAGACUGUGCGACUUAUUUUAGAAUAGCCUUCCGUUUUAUAAGUUAAAUUUUCAAAUUGAAUUUCUGAAAGAAAGGAAAGUAUUUAAAAAAAAAAAUUAAAAAUAGGCAGUGUAAUUGCUUUACUUGAUUUAUGAGCCAAAAUUGACGCCUUUAUUUAUUUGUGUAUAGGCAAAAUGACUUCAUUUAUUUAUUGUCAUUGUUAACCAGAAGAAUUUUUCUGAAUGAAUUUGAGAGAUUAAUGCAUGAGGCUAAAAUUUUAAUGUGUUGUCAUCAGCAUAUCCUUGAACAUGCUACGUAAAUUAAGAUUGAACUUGUUGCUUAUGACAUGGUACCAUAGCCCAGCUCAUGAAUAUGUUUUCACAAUUAUGAACAAGUUCCUGCUUUCUGUUGUAAAUGUUGUUUAUAUUAGCAUAGGAGAAACAGAAAAGGGACUUGAAAGCUGGUUGUUAAGGCACAUGCCUUAACAAAUAACUGUUUCUCAUUAGUUUAAGUGAAAUCUUAUAACAGAAGUAUAUGUAAAUUGCAAGUAUUAUGAGUCUAUUACAAAGGUUGCAUCUUUAUACAUUCUUACAGCCCUACUUUGCACUUCUAACUUCUAGUCGAGAGUUGUGGUGAAUUUACUUAGGUUUCUUUUCAUUGAAAAAGAAGAUUGAAGAUGCUGUUCUCCGAGCUGAGAUGUCAGCACCAACAGCACUAGAGCUCGAGGAAGUGAGACGGAUCAAGCAGG
rnacentral:misc_RNA from 1 species